GACGAACGCUGGCGGCGUGCUUAACACAUGCAAGUCGAACGGAAAGUCCCUGCUUUUGUGGGGUGCUCGAGUGGCGAACGGGUGAGUAACACGUGAGUAACCUGCCCUUGACUUUGGGAAAACUUCAGGAAACUGGGGCUAAUACCGGAUAGGAGCUCCUGCUGCAUGGUGGGGGUUGGAAAGUUUCGGCGGAUGGGGAUGGACUCGCGGCUUAUCAGCUUGUUGGUGGGGUAGUGGCUUACCAAGGCUUUGACGGGUAGCCGGCCUGGGAGGGUGACCGGCCACAUUGGGACUGAGAUACGGCCCAGACUCCUACGGGAGGCAGCAGUGGGGAAUAUUGCACAAUGGGCGGAAGCCUGAUGCAGCAACGCCGCGUGCGGGAUGACGGCCUUCGGGUUGUAAACCGCUUUCGCCUGUGACGAAGCGUGAGUGACGGUAAUGGGUAAAGAAGCACCGGCUAACUACGUG
rnacentral:rRNA from 1 species